UACGAAGGGGCUAGCGUUGCUCGGAAUCACUGGCGUAAAGGGCGCGUAGGCGGCCAUUCAAGUCGGGGGUGAAAGCCUGUGGCUCAACCACAGAAUUGCCUUCGAUACUGUUUGGCUUGAGUUUGGUAGAGGUUGGUGGAACUGCGAGUGUAGAGGUGAAAUUCGUAGAUAUUCGCAAGAACACCAGUGGCGAAGGCGGCCAACUGGACCAACACUGACGCUG
rnacentral:rRNA from 1 species